AGAAUCAACGCUGGCGGCGUGCCUAACACAUGCAAGUCGAACGAGAAAGUGGAGCAAUCCAUGAGUAAAGUGGCGCACGGGUGAGUAACACGUGACUAACCUACCCUUGAGUGGGGGGAUAACCUAGAGAAAUCUGGGCUAAUACCGCAUAAUACCUUCGGGUCAAAGGAGCAAUUCGCUUAAGGAGGGGGUCGCGGCCGAUUAGUUAGUUGGCGGGGUAAUGGCCCACCAAGACUAUGAUCGGUAUCCGGCCUGAGAGGGCGCACGGACACACUGGAACUGAAACACGGUCCAGACUCCUACGGGAGGCAGCAGUGGGGAAUUUUGCGCAAUGGGGGAAACCCUGACGCAGCAACGCCGCGUGGAGGAUGAAGUCCCUUGGGACGUAAACUCCUUUCGAUCGGGACGAUUAUGACGGUACCGGAAGAAGAAGCCCCGGCUAACUUCGCGCCAGCAGCCGC
rnacentral:rRNA from 1 species